ensembl:snRNA U5 U5 spliceosomal RNA
AUACUCUGGUUUCCCUUCAGAUGGUAGAAAUCUUUCACCUUUUACUAAAGAUUUCUGUGGAGAGGAACAAUUCUGAAUAUUAACCCAAUUUUUUGAGGCCCUGAGUCUGCUGGCUA